rnacentral:lncRNA from 1 species
AGCCUGCCGAGGACACAGGCCUGGCUGUCCGGUGCCCACAAUGUUCCAGAUGCCCACAGGACUGCACAGCAGCUCUUGGUUAUUUUGAAACCUCUCUUCCCGUGACCCUCUGUCAUGAUUCUCCAAGAGAGAUGCCUUGCCGCAGUGUUGCUGAUGAACCUGAGUUCUUUCCUUUUUUCAAAAAAUUAAAAAUUUUGUCUACUGCCAGGCGUGGUGGUGCACAUCUGUAAUCCCAGCACUCAGGAAGCUGAGGCAGGAGGAUCCUGCUGAAUUUGAGGCCAGCCUGGGCUACAUGGAGGAAAGAAAAUGGCCAAACGAGGGGCCUGGUGGAAAACCAGAAAAUGCUUUCUCUUUCCAAGCAGAUUGCAAAGCAACGGAGCCGAGAGACAGCGCGGGCCUCAGUACUCAUCGGGGUUGCUGGACUGUAGGUCGCGCAGGUAGGAGUCAAUGAUGUUGGGCGGCACGCCUUGCAGGAGCAGCCUGCAGAAGGACAGCCCCGCCUGCAGGGAGAGGAGGGUAGAGUCAGAGCCCAGGGACCCGAGCCAGGCUGUGCUGCGGACAUGCGACCGCUGUGGCUCCCAGAGCAACAGGCUUCCUCCAGCCCUGCUCGGAAGUCCACUGCAGGCCUCAGUACUUGGGGCACCUAAAGCGCUCGGUGUGCGGACAGGAGCGUGAAUUCCCAGCAGAGCCCUGGCCAUUUGCUUCCCCACCACUGUUCACUCUGAAGUUCUUAGAUGGUGGCAAAUGCCCCUCGCCCUGGGAGAGGUUUUGUGAUUCCUCUUUAGCUGGUUUAAAGGUCCUGCCUGCACAGCAAAAUAAAUGCUUAGGGUCGGCAGGAAGAUGGGCCUCCAGGUUGCUUAUGCUGUUUUCAUUAAGCAGGAGAAGUUCCAGUUCCAGCACACUGGAGAAGCAAAAAGACUCCCUUUCACUGUGGGCAUUUACACACUCUCAACAGCGCAAGAGCUGGAACUAUUCUGUUAAAAAUUCUAAGACAGGGCCAAUACCUUGGGAAGGCGUAGAGAAAUGCCCACUAUAUUUCAUACCUACCUUCUGAGUUUCUGAAUUACAUUUAAAAACUUAAAACCCAGGAAACCCCCAAGCUGCAUGGUCCUUUAAUAAAGUGCUUCGCAUAUUUGCUAAUAAACUCAUAGCCAG